GACGAACGCUGGCGGCGUGCUUAACACAUGCAAGUCGAGCGGUAAGGCCCUUUCGGGGGUACACGAGCGGCGAACGGGUGAGUAACACGUGGGUGACCUGCCCUCAGCUCUGGGAUAAGCCUGGGAAACCGGGUCUAAUACUGGAUAUGACUCCAUGACGCAUGUUGUGGGGUGGAAAGCCUUGUGCGGCUGAGGAUGGGCCCGCGGCCUAUCAGCUUGUUGGUGGGGGAUGGCCUACCAAGGCGACGACGGGUAGCCGGCCUGAGAGGGCGACCGGCCACACUGGACUGAGACACGGCCCAGACUCCUACGGGAGGCAGCAGUGGGGAAUCUUGCGCAAUGGGCGAAAGCCUGACGCAGCGACGCCGCGUGA
rnacentral:rRNA from 1 species